UACUCUCACUGCACCACUCGGAGUAUUUAUAUCACUGUAUCUGAGUGUGAAUCACAGCAGCAGAUGAUCGGAAAGAGAAUUAUCGGUAUACAGUUUCAAGGACAACAACAACAACAUUUAUUUAUAUAGCACAUUUUCAUACAAAAAGUAGCUCAAAGUGCUUUACAUAUUGAAGAAAAGAAAAAUAAAAGACAAAAUAAGAAAUUAAAAUAAGACAACAUCAGUUAACAUAGAAAAGGAGUAAGGUCCGAUGGCCAGGGUGGACAGAAAAAACAAAAAAAAACUCCAUAAAGCUGGAGAAAAAAAUAAAA